GAGGUAUUAGUAAAACAUUACGUAACUUUGUCAAAGUUAAAUUACAAGCGAAAACCUUGUAUACCUCU
rnacentral:tRNA from 1 species